rnacentral:SRP_RNA from 15 species
GACCGGAAGGCAGCAAACCCCGGGAUAAUCUCGUGUAUGUAU